UUUCCUACGGGGGGCAGCAGUCGGGAAUAUUUCUCAAUUUAUUAAACUCUUACUCAUUUACUCCUCUUAUAUUAAUAAUGUUUUCGGAUUGUAAACUAUUGUCGUGAGGGAAGAAAUUGACAGUACCUCAGGAGGAAGCUCCGGCUAACUAUGUGCCAGCAGCCGCGGUAAUACAUAGGGAGCAAGCGUUAUCCGGAUUUAUUGGGUGUAAAGGGUGCGUAGACGGGAAAUUAAGUUAUUUGUUAA
rnacentral:rRNA from 1 species